rnacentral:tRNA from 2 species
UGGGGCAUCGCCAAGUGGUAAGGCAUCGGACUCUGACUCCGACAUUCCUGUGUUCGAAUCACAGUGCCCCAGCCA